AGUUCAGUUUCUAUUUGUCACUAGUUAAUAUCACACCUGGUGAAAGGGAGUAAGACAAGGAAUAUUAAUAUUAAAAUAAAGAAGAUGAAGUUCUUAUUGCUCAUUUCUAUAUUUGUGGCCUGUUCUGCCCACUGCUUGGCAUUUAAAAACGUUGAAUGUGGCUUACCACCUUUUAAGGAAGGGAAUGGAAAAAUAAUUUGUCUUGCAUAUGUUCCUAGUUGGAGUUAUGAUUUAAAAACAAACGAAUGCGUUUGGUGGGUAUAUGGAGGAUGUGGCGGCAAUGCCAAUCGAUUUGGAAGCGAACAGAAGUGCAAGGACAGGUGUAAGGAAUAAAAAAAGAUGCAAGUACUUUAACAACUGCAAAAUGUAUCAAAAAGGUUAAUUAAAGAAAUUUGUCAAAUUUAAAAAAUAA